AGCGAACGCUGGCGGCAGGCUUAACACAUGCAAGUCGAGCGGGCACUUUCGGGUGUCAGCGGCGGACGGGUGGGUAACGCGUGGGAACGUGCCCUCUGGUUCGGAAUAACUCAGGGAAACUUGAGCUAAUACCGGAUACGCCCUUUUGGGGAAAGGCUUGCUGCCGGAGGAUCGGCCCGCGUCUGAUUAGCUAGUUGGUGAGGUAACGGCUCACCAAGGCGACGAUCAGUAGCUGGUCUGAGAGGAUGAUCAGCCACACUGGGACUGAGACACGGCCCAGACUCCUACGGGAGGCAGCAGUGGGGAAUAUUGGACAAUGGGCGCAAGCCUGAUCCAGCCAGGCCGCGUGAGUGAUGAAGGGCUUAGGGUUGUAAAGCUCUUUAUCCGGGACGAUAAUGACGGUACCGGAGGAAUAAGCCCUGGCUAACUUCGUG
rnacentral:rRNA from 1 species